GACCGUCCAGGAUCUAGUAUAGCAAUUAUACAGCGAAACUGCGAAUGGCUCAUUAUAUAAGUUAUCGUUUAUUUGAUAGUACCUUACUACUUGGAUAACCGUGGUAAUUCUAGAGCUAAUACAUGCUAAAAAUCCCGACUUCGGAAGGGAUGUAUUUAUUAGAUUAAAAACCCAAUGCCCUCUGGGCUCCUUGGUGAUUCAUGAUAACUUCUCGAAUCGCAUGGCCUUGUGCCGGCGAUGGUUCAUUCAAAUUUCUUCCCUAUCAACUUUCGAUGUUUGGGUAGUGGCCAAACAUGGUUGCAACGGGUAACGGAGGGUUAGGGCUCGACCCCGGAGAAGGAGCCUGAGAAACGGCUACUACAUCCAAGGAAGGCAGCAGGCGCGCAAAUUACCCAAUCCCGACACGGGGAGGUAGUGACAAUAAAUACUGAUACAGGGCCCUUUCGGGUCUUGUAAUUGGAAUGAGUACAAUUUAAAUCCCUUAACGAGGAACAAUUGGAGGGCAAGUCUGGUGCCAGCAGCCGCGGUAAUUCCAGCUCCAAUAGCGUAUAUUAAAGUUGUUGUGGUUAAAAAGCUCGUAGUUGAACCUUGGGCCUGGCUGGCCGGUCCGCCUCACCGCGUGUACUGGUCCGGCCGGGCCUUUCCCUCUGUGGAACCCCAUGCCCUUCACUGGGUGUGGCGGGGAAACAGGACUUUUACUUUGAAAAAAUUAGAGUGCUCCAGGCAGGCCUAUGCUCGAAUACAUUAGCAUGGAAUAAUGAAAUAGGACGUGCGGUUCUAUUUUGUUGGUUUCUAGGACCGCCGUAAUGAUUAAUAGGGACAGUCGGGGGCAUCAGUAUUCAAUUGUCAGAGGUGAAAUUCUUGGAUUUAUUGAAGACUAACUACUGCGAAAGCAUUUGCCAAGGAUGUUUUCAUUAAUCAGGAACGAAAGUUAGGGGAUCGAAGACGAUCAGAUACCGUCGUAGUCUUAACCAUAAACUAUGCCGACUAGGGAUCGGACGAUGUUAUUUUUUGACUCGUUCGGCACCUUACGAGAAAUCAAAGUGCUUGGGCUCCAAGGGGAGUAUUCGACGG
rnacentral:rRNA from 1 species